rnacentral:rRNA from 1 species
CCUACGGGCGGCAGCAGUGGGGAAUAUUGCACAAUGGGGGAAACCCUGAUGCAGCAACGCCGCGUGAGUGAGGAAGUAUUUCGGUAUGUAAAGCUCUAUUAGCAGGGAAUAGAAAAGAAGGUAGUUGAAAAAGAUGCCCCGGCUAACUACGUGCCAGCAGCCGCGGUAAUACGUAGGGGGCAAGCGUUAUUCGGAUUUACUGGGUGUAAAGGGAGCGUAGACGGUAAGGCAAGUCAGAAGUGAAAGCCCAAGGCUCAACCAGGGAACUGCAUUUGAAACUGUCAAACUAGAGUACGGGAGAGGUAAGAGGAAGUCCUGGUGUAGCGGUGAAAUGCGUAGAUAUUAGGAGGAACACCAGUGGCGAAGGCGUCUUACUGGACCGAAACUGAUGUUGAGGCUCGAAAGCGUGGGGAGCAAACAGGAUUAGAUACCCGGGUAGUC